AUGACCACAUCACAUUGAAACACCAGUUCUCAUAAGAUCACUGAAGUUAAGCAAUGUCAAGCCUGGUCAGUACCUAGAUGGAUGACCCCUUAAAAAUACCAGGUGCUGUAAG